GAUGAACGCUGGCGGCGUGCCUAAUACAUGCAAGUCGAGCGAACAGACGAGGAGCUUGCUCCUCUGACUUUAGCGGCGGACGGGUGAGUAACACGUGGAUAACCUACCUAUAAGACUGGGAUAACUUCGGGAAACCGGAGCUAAUACCGGAUAAUAUAUUGAACCGCAUGGUUCAAUAGUGAAAGACGGUUUUGCUGUCACUUAUAGAUGGAUCCGCCCCGCAUUAGCUAGUUGGUAAGGUAACGGCUUACCAAGGCAACGAUGCGUAGCCGACCUGAGAGGGUGAUCGGCCACACUGGACGUGAGACACGGUCCAGACUCCUACGGGGGGCAGCAGUAGGGACUCUUCCGCAAUGGGCGAAAGCCUGACGGAGCAAAGCUGCGGGAGUGAGGAAGGUCUACGGAUCGUAAAACUCUGUUAUUAGGGAAGAACAAAUGUGUAAGUAACUAUGCACGUAUUGACGGUACCUAAUCAGAAAGCCACGGCUAACUACGUG
rnacentral:rRNA from 1 species